GAGGAUGUUUUGCCGCUACCGGAGAGGGCAGUUAGCCUUAUAAAACAAGCACUUAGAUCGCUUUAGUCCCCAGCAUGGGGUGCUAGGGGUCGAGUGUUCGAAUCACUCCGUCCCGACCA
rnacentral:tRNA from 1 species